UAUGAACGCUGACAGAAUGCUUAACACAUCAGCAAUUGAUUGGUGGCGGACGGGUGAGUAACGCGUAAAGAACUUGCCUCACAGGUAGGUACAACAUUUGGAAACGAAUGCUAAUACCUCAUACUGUGCGAGAGCUUUGCGUCCCAUUAGCUAGAUGGAGAGGUAACGGCUCACCAAGGCGAUGAUGGGUAGCCGACCUGAGAGGGUGAGCGGCCACAAGGGGACUGAGACGCGGGCCUUACUCCUACGGGUGGCAGCAGUGCGGAAUAGUGGACGAUGGACCAAAGUCUGAUCAAGCAAGUCUGUGUGCACGAUGAAGAAUUGGGAAUGUAAAGUGCAUUCAGUUGAGAAGCGGUACCAACAGAAGAAGUGAAGGCUAAAUACGUGCCAGCCGCCGCGGUAAUUC
rnacentral:rRNA from 1 species